rnacentral:misc_RNA from 1 species
UUUCAAAGUUAACCCCUAGAAUGAUGCCCAAUUCAAUGCCUUGGUUAAUGAAUACUGUUUACUUACUAAAAAAUAUUAAAAAGAUGCUACUUCUUCCUCAGUUCUACAAAUUCAUUCCUACUUCCUACCUUUUACUAUUGAACAAAUUUCAAAAGUGGCUGUAAACUAGAGCACAAACAACUUCUUCUUCCCAUCAUAAAGUUGAAGAAUAAAACAUUAGUAAAAUGUAAAAUUGAAAAAGAACCAUCACAAAAAGUAAACGUGGGAGUGAUCGGUCUUCUUAAUUAAAAUUCACAGAAUUUUGAAGCAGCCAUGAUCCCACCUGGUAUCUUCGCUUAUUUUGAG